AUGGGCUACAUCUAGCCUCCAUGAUCUGAGCCUUUGCCUUCUCCAUCAUGUGAUACAAAAAGCCCAUCUGGGGAUACCUCUCGCUAUCCACGGCCCGCAACACUUUAUAUAAUGGUUUGAUAGCCUUGAUUAUCGCAUUGGCCCGCUGCCAGAAUGACUACCUGCUUACCAAGUCUUCCAUCUUGCUUCCUUCAAUGCCGGCCUGGGCAUAUCUACUUUCCUGCCACUCGGAACUGACAAACAUCUGACGUAGGGCUCCUUUCUUCUCGAUAAGGCUAUCAAGUGCAAUGUAAUUCGUAGCAAACCGUGUGACUCCUGGUCUAAGAAUUUCUCCCCCUGCAUACUUUCUCAUUAAUGAAAGAACCCAAGUAUGGCUAUAAAUAUAC
rnacentral:lncRNA from 1 species